rnacentral:rRNA from 1 species
UACGGGGGGGGCAAGCGUUGUUCGGAAUUACUGGGCGUAAAGGGCUCGUAGGCGGCCAACUAAGUCAGACGUGAAAUCCCUCGGCUUAACCGGGGAACUGCGUCUGAUACUGGAUGGCUUGAGUUUGGGAGAGGGACGCGGAAUUCCAGGUGUAGCGGUGAAAUGCGUAGAUAUCUGGAGGAACACCGGUGGCGAAGGCGGCGUCCUGGACCAACACUGACACUGAGGAGCGAAAGCCAGGGGAGCAAACGGG